rnacentral:rRNA from 1 species
AUGGCUCAGAACGAACGCUGGCGGCGCGCUUAAGCAUGCAAGUCGAACGGCAAGAGGUAGCAAUACCUCCUAGAGUGGCGGACUGGUGAGUAACACGUGGGUGACAUACCCUUCAGAUGGGGAUAGCUAUUAGAAAUAGUAGAUAAUACCGAAUACGAGCACAGGGGUUAGAGAUCUGUGAGGAAAGGAGCUAAGGCUCCGCUGAAGGAAUGGCCUGCGGCCCAUUAGCUAGUUGGUGAGGUAAGAGCCCACCAAGGCGAUGAUGGGUAUCCGGCCUUAGAGGGUGAACGGACACAUUGGGACUGAGAUACGGCCCAGACUCCUACGGGAGGCAGCAGCUAAGAAUAUUCCGCAAUGGACGAAAGUCUGACGGAGCGACGCCGCCGUGGAUGAAGAAGGCCGGAAGGUUGUAAAAUCCUUUUGAAACUGAAGAAUAAGCGUUGUAGGGAAUGACAGCGUGGUGACAGUAGGUUUUGAAUAAGCAACGGCUAAUUACGUGCCAGCCGCGGC